UUGUAGAUGAUGACAUUUUAUUGAGAUUCAUAGUUUUGAAAGGAACUCUUUCAUUUAGAUACGAGAUUAUCAGACGGCAGGGGAAAGGUGAUUUCGACAUUAUUAUUGAAUAUUGGAGUCGGUUGUUCAGCGAAGUAUUGAACGGUGAAUGUAACAAAAUAAAUGGAAUGGGUAAUAAAACAAACAGAACGAGUAACAUAACAAAUGGAAUGGAUGACGAAAAUCAACGUGUUAUAAGGCUUAAGAUUGGCAUUCUAGGAGAAACCUUUGGAGAAAAAGCAUUUCUGAUUCGAACGGAAACUAGAAAAUUCGAAGAGCAAUGAGAAAUGCACACGGUAUUCUUCUGGUUCAUGAUAAUGAAAACAGUUGUACCUUUGGGAAUAUUGGAGAAUGGUGUGCGACAAUGAGGAAAUUAGCUCCAGAAGCAAUCAUAUUCAUAAUUGGUGCUCGAUCUGACCUUUUCUGUGAAAGGGAAGAACUUCUUAAAGAAGUCCAAAAUUUUGCCAUAAGUGAAAAUCUCGAAAUUUUUGAAUGCCGUGCCAAGACUGGUGAAAAUGUUAAAGAAGUAAGAUAUAAUAAAUUUAAUUCAAGUUUUCAUAAAAACUUACUUCACGAUUCUCACCA